rnacentral:rRNA from 1 species
UACGGAGGGUGCAAACGUUGCUCGGAAUUAUUGGGCGUAAAGCGCACGUAUGCGGACCGCUAAGUCGGAUGUGAAAUCCCUCAGCUUAACUGAGGAAGUGCAUUCGAAACUGACGGUCUUGAGUACGGAAGAGGGUCGCGGAAUUCCCGGUGUAGAGGUGAAAUUCGUAGAUAUCGGGAGGAACACCAGUGGCGAAGGCGGCGACCUGGGCCGAUACUGACGCUGAGGUGCGAAAGCGUGGGGAGCAAACAGG